UAAUACGGGGGGUACAAGCGUUAAUCGGAAUUACUGGGCGUAAAGCGCGCGUAGGCGGUUAAGUAAGUUGGAUGUGAAAGCCCAGGGCUCAACCUAGGAACUGCAUUCAAAACUAUUUAACUAGAGUGCGAGAGAGGAGAGUAGAAUCUCUGGUGUAGCGGUGAAAUGCGUAGAUAUCAGAAGGAAUACCAAUGGCGAAGGCAGCUCUCUGGAUCGUCACUGACGCUAAGGUGCGAAAGCGUGGGUAGCAAACAGGAUUAGAUACCCUGGUAGUCCACGCCGUAAACGAUGAGAACUAGCCGUUGGGGAGAAUUAACUCUUCAGUGGCGCAGCUAACGCAUUAAGUUCUCCGCCUGGGGACUACGGCCGCAAGGCUA
rnacentral:rRNA from 1 species